rnacentral:rRNA from 1 species
AGAACGAACGCUGGCGGCAUGCCUAAUACAUGCAAGUCGAACGAACUCUUCGGAGUUAGUGGCGCACGGGUGCGUAACGCGUGGGAAUCUGCCCCUUGGUUCGGAAUAACAGUUGGAAACGACUGCUAAUACCGGAUGAUGACGAAAGUCCAAAGAUUUAUCGCCGAGGGAUGAGCCCGCGUAGGAUUAGCUAGUUGGUGAGGUAAAGGCUCACCAAGGCAACGAUCCUUAGCUGGUCUGAGAGGGUGAUCAGCCACACUGGGACUGAGACACGGCCCAGACUCCUACGGGAGGCAGCAGUAGGGAAUAUUGGACAAUGGGCGAAAGCC